rnacentral:rRNA from 1 species
AAGGAUCAUUAUCAAAAGUCAAGUCGGGGGCUGUAAAGCUCUCGUCUACACCCAUGUCUUUUGCGUACUCUUGUUUCCUCGGUGGCGCAAGCUGCCGAUUGGACAAACCAAAACCUUUUUUGUAAUUGCAAUCAGCGUCUGAAAAUAAUCUAAUUAUUUACAACUUUCAACAACGGAUCUCUUGGUUCUGGCAUCGAUGAAGAACGCAGCGAAAUGCGAUAAGUAGUGUGAAUUGCAGAAUUCAGUGAAUCAUCGAAUCUUUGAACGCACAUUGCGCCCCUUGGUAUUCCAUGGGGCAUGCCUGUUCGAGCGUCAUUUGUACCCUCAAGCUUUGCUUGGUGUUGGGCGUCUUGUCGUAUUACGACUCGCCUUAAAUUCAUUGGCAGCCGGCACUUUGGCCUAGGAGCGCAGCACAUUUUGCGAUCGUAGCCCGUUGUACUGGCGUCCAUCAAGAACAUUUACCACGUUUGACCUCGGAUCAGGU